rnacentral:rRNA from 1 species
AUUGAACGCUGGCGGCAGGCCUAACACAUGCAAGUCGAGCGGAUGAGGGGAGCUUGCUCCUGGAUUCAGCGGCGGACGGGUGAGUAAUGCCUAGGAAUCUGCCUGGUAGUGGGGGAUAACGUCCGGAAACGGGCGCUAAUACCGCAUACGUCCUGAGGGAGAAAGUGGGGGAUCUUCGGACCUCACGCUAUCAGAUGAGCCUAGGUCGGAUUAGCUAGUUGGUGGGGUAAAGGCCUACCAAGGCGACGAUCCGUAACUGGUCUGAGAGGAUGAUCAGUCACACUGGAACUGAGACACGGUCCAGACUCCUACGGGAGGCAGCAGUGGGGAAUAUUGGACAAUGGGCGAAAGCCUGAUCCAGCCAUGCCGCGUGUGUGAAGAAGGUCUUCGGAUUGUAAAGCACUUUAAGUCGGGAGGAAGGGCAGUAAGUUAAUACCUUGCUGUUUUGACGUUACCAACAGAAUAAGCACCGGCUAACUUCGUG